rnacentral:rRNA from 1 species
GAUUAACGCUGGCGGCGUGCAUAACACAUGCAAGUCGAACGAUGAAACUUUAAUGAACCCUUCGGGGAGAAUUAAAGCGGAUUAGUGGCGAACGGGUGAGUAACGCGUGAGUAACCUGCCUUACACAAGGGGAUAGCCUUUGGAAACGAAGAAUAAUACCCUAUAAAACCAUAAAAGCACAUGCAAUUAUGGUCAAAGUGAUAGCGGUGUAAGAUGGACUUGCGUCUGAUUAGCUAGUUGGUGAGAUAAAAGCCCACCAAGGCAACGAUCAGUAGCCGGCUUGAGAGAGUGUACGGCCACAUUGGGACUGAGACACGGCCCAGACUCCUACGGGAGGCAGCAGUGGGGAAUUUUGCACAAUGGGGGAAACCCUGAUGCAGCGACGCCGCGUGAUUUAGAAGGCCUUCGGGUUGUAAAAAUCUUUUGUAUAGGAAGAAAAUGACAGUACUAUACGAAUAAGGUCCGGCUAAUUACGUGCCAGCCGCCGCCGUAACAC